rnacentral:lncRNA from 1 species
UCGCUGCAGCCCCAUCUACCACAUCUUCAUGUGGACAUUGAGAUUCACAUGCUGGCUCCUGAAGGGUGCUCAGUCUCCUUGGUGAUUAAGGGGCAGCCAGCCCUGGCUUCCAAGGCUCCCGUACUGUCUGUGUCCUUGUAUAAGGAGCUUUGCUCUUGGAAUUACUGAAAGUCUGUGGCCCAAGAGAGAGACACAAGUGGCCUUAAGUCUUUUUGAAGUGUUAUUUCAUCCAGGGAAAUGCCUCGAGCCAUAGAGCCUGAAAUCAUCUUUGUUGGCUCAGAAAAUACCUUAGCUUCACUCAGCUGGACUGCAUUGAAGGCGAGGCUGCCCCUUGGAUCAAGCAGAAAACAAGAGAAAGAAAGAACGUUCCCUUUGGGGAUAGUCUGGAAAGUUGGGAUUUGCAAAUAAAGGCUCUGGAAGCA